GCCUAGUUAGCUUAGUUGGUAGUGCGUCUGCCUUGUAAGCGCUAGGCCGCGGGUUCGAUUCCCGCCCAGGG
rfam:Asian citrus Psyllid, Diaphorina citri - Florida Strain, whole genome shotgun sequence.